rnacentral:rRNA from 1 species
CAUGCAAGUCGAACGGAAAGGCCCUUCGGGGUACUCGAGUGGCGAACGGGUGAGUAACACGUGGGUGAUCUGCCCUGCACUUUGGGAUAAGCCUGGGAAACUGGGUCUAAUACCGAAUACACCCUUCUGGCUGCAUGGUCUGGUUGGGGAAAGCUUUUGCGGUGUGGGAUGGGCCCGCGGCCUAUCAGCUUGUUGGUGAGGUUACGGCUCACCAAGGCGACGACGGGUAGCCGGCCUGAGAGGGUGACCGGCCACACUGGGACUGAGAUACGGCCCAGACUCCUACGGGAGGCAGCAGUGGGGAAUAUUGCACAAUGGACGCAAGCCUGAUGCAGCGACGCCGCGUGAGGGAUGACGGCCUUCGGGUUGUAAACCUCUUUCGCCAGGGACGAAGCGCAAGUGACGGUACCUGGAGAAGAAGGACCGGCCAACUACGUGCCAGCAGCCGCGGUAAUACGUAGGGUCCGAGCGUUGUCCGGAAUUACUGGGCGUAAAGAGCUCGUAGGUGGUUUGUCGCGUUGUUCGUGAAAACUCACA